rnacentral:rRNA from 1 species
UACGUAAGGUCCGAGCGUUGUCCGGAAUUACUGGGCGUAAAGAGCUCGUAGGUGGUUUGUCGCGUCGUCUGUGAAAUUCCGGGGCUUAACUCCGGGCGUGCAGGCGAUACGGGCAUAACUUGAGUACUGUAGGGGAGACUGGAAUUCCUGGUGUAGUGGUGAAAUGCGUAGAUAUCAGGAGGAACACCGGUGGCGAAGGCGACUGUCUGGCCAUAAACUGACGCUGAGGUACGAAUGCGUGGGUAGCGAACGGG